rnacentral:rRNA from 1 species
CCUACGGGCGGCUGCAGUGGGGAAUAUUGGGCAAUGGGGGAAACCCUGACCCAGCAACGCCGCGUGAAGGAAGAAGGCCUUCGGGUUGUAAACUUCUUUGAUCAGGGAAGAAACAAAUGACGGUACCUGAAAAACAAGCCACGGCUAACUACGUGCCAGCAGCCGCGGUAAUACGUAGGUGGCAAGCGUUAUCCGGAUUUACUGGGUGUAAAGGGCGUGUAGGCGGUCUCAUAAGUCAGAUGUGAAAUUCCCGGGCUUAACCCGGGCGCUGCAUCUGAAACUGUGGGACUUGAGUACUGGAGAGGAUAGUGGAAUUCCUAGUGUAGCGGUAAAAUGCGUAGAUAUUAGGAGGAACACCGGUGGCGAAGGCGACUAUCUGGACAGUAACUGACGCUGAGGCGCGAAAGCGUGGGGAGCAAACAGGAUUAGAUACCCCAGUAGUC